rnacentral:rRNA from 1 species
CUUAGGACCGUUAUAGUUACGGCCGCCGUUUACUGGGGCUUCGGUUCAAAGCUUCGCUUGCGCUAACUCAUCCCCUUAACCUUCCAGCACCGGGCAGGCGUCAGCCCCUAUACUUCGCCUUGCGGCUUCGCAGAGACCUGUGUUUUUGCUAAACAGUCGCUUGGGCCUUUUCACUGCGGCCCCCUCGGGCUCAGCCCACCCAACGCAAGCUUACGCUCACGUUGGGCGGGGACCCUCACCCUACCGGGGGGCCCCUUCUCCCGAAGUUACGGGGCCAUUUUGCCGAGUUCCUUAGCAAGAGUUAUCCCGCGCACCUUAGGAUUCUCUCCUCGCCUACCUGUGUCGGUU